UGUUGGGUUAAGUCCCGCAACGAGCGCAACCCGUGUUGCUAGUUACAAGUGUCUAGCGAGACUGCCGGUAACAAGCCGGAGGAAGGUGCGGAUGAUGUCAAGUCAGCAUGGCCUAUAUGUCCAGGGCUACACACACGCUACAAUGGCUGGUACAAAGAGAAGCGAAAGGGAGACCUGAAGCGAAUCUCAUCAAAGCCAGUCAUAGUUCGGAUUGCAGGCUGCAACUCGCCUGCAUGAAGUCGGAGUUGCUAGUAACCGCAGGUCAGCAAUACUGCGGUGAAUACGUUCCCGGGCCUUGUACACAC
rnacentral:rRNA from 1 species